CUUUUCCAGUGUCAGGACCUGAAUGGGAUGGAUCCAUAAUUGGGUGUGAUUGGCCCUUCCCUUUUUGCUGACUCCUAGUAAGAACGAUAUGGACACAUUCCACCCGAUUUACUGGAGAGUCUUGAGGACCUCAAUUUAUUCCCUCCAUUUUUCUUGGACUCUGGAUCUGAUGAUCUCGAUUAUUAAAAUUGAAUGGAGCAUUACAUUGCUGAUACGUAUGCCCUGACUGCUUGUAAUUCCCACAAACUCACGCAUAAU
rnacentral:lncRNA from 1 species